CCGCGGAAGGCGGGCGCCCCGCCGGGCUCCCCGAGGUGCGGCCGCACGUGGGCCCCGCAGUAGGAGGCCAGGCAGACACAACACUAGGAUAGAAAGCAGCGGCUGCCGCACCACAGAGCCUAUUAUGGGACAUCCUGAGGUUUUCGCUGGAAACAUGGCCUCUGGCUUUACACAGCUCUAGAAUGUAUUCCUGCUGCUCAUAAUUCGACAAGGUCCAGGACAGAAAAGACAGUAACUGGGAAUAUGUCUUUAAUCGUUAUCAACCUGGCUUACCAGACGACAUGUUGAGUUUCUCCUUCCAAGACUGCAGGUCCAGAUAACUUUCAUCCAAGAGUUUUAAAAGAGCUGGCUGAGGAACUUCCUGGACUGUUAAUGUUACCACAAUGCAACCAAAUUCGAAGCAGAGGGAAGGAGGGCGGGCAGUAGAAUGAAGAUCGGGACUACACAUCUCAAAGACCCUCCAGUUACAAACACCAGAGCAUGCCUGAUGUCAAGGGACCGAGGUGUCGUGUCUUUGGAAGAUGCAUGGGGUUUUGGGAAGAAUAGAGGAAGCAACCUGUGAUUUUGUUCCGCCAAGACCACUGCUCGACUUAGACUUUCUCUUCUGCGCCCAGGAGAGAAAAAACAACUGCAGAAGCAGUAGGAAAUCUAUGAAAAAGGUGAACAUUAUUUUAGGCUCUCCUGACAGGAGUAAAGGAGGAACAAGAGAGUACGUGGCCUGGGAAAUACUAAUAAGACAAAGUGGUGCCUUGAAACCCCAAGCAAGUUCGAGGCCCACUGUGCAAGGCACCGUUGCAAGGCACCGUACAAAGAGUUCCUGCCCUGAGGAGGUCACAGUCUAAACAGACAAGACAGAGGACAAGAGCGUAAAACAGAGGUUCACAGUUGAAUGUCAGUGGAAGCUGAAAAUAAAAUACAGGUCUCCUGAGUCACAAGACAAUUGCCUAUCCACUGGACCCCACUGCCUCUCUCUGCAACAAUCCAAGAAAUCAACUCAUUGACUUGCAUUAUUAGUUUUGACUGCUGGUUGUAUGAAAACAAAUAUAAUUUUGCAAGUUGUGGCCCGAAGCUUCCAGGAUUUGUGACCCUAAAAGACUUCUUUAAAUUAAGUAACAAUGUGCUACAGCUUCAGUAAACUAACAAAAUGCCAGUUGACAAUUUUUAACUUUGGGGAUAGAAAAGGGUCUGUUUCUGGUCUCAAAAGCCUGGUUUUUGCAUUCAUAAAAAUGUAUGGCUUCUCCUAAAGCUGGAGAAUGUAAAGUAUCACUUUUUUCUGAAGCAAACACAGGGAAAUGUGUUUUAAAUUCGUGUUAGGUGACAAAAACAGUUCCAAAACCUAUUGUGAGGGAGCAAACGCUUGUGUUUUGGAUAAUUAACUAGAAUAGUGAAGAGGUCUUUAUUUUUAAGCUUUACAACGCACUGGUGCAGGCACCAGUUCAACAUAGCCACCCAAAACUCUGUUCUUCCAUGACUAAUUGAGCUUAUUCAAAAAACUUUGCUUCAAAAGAGGCUUAUGAACCAUAGGCCAAAACUAAACUAAGAUAAAAAUGUAAACCCUUGCAAUACAUUCACCACACAUCUAAGCAAUCACAUGAUACUACUUGCAUCAAUCUUGUCAGUUUUAUUCAUUCUCAUUUGAAAUUAGAUUGUACAUUUAUUAGGGAAGGACAAAGUUGUAAGUUGUGUAAGUGUCAUGCACGUUUAUUGCACUAUAAAAAUAAUUAGUCUACAACUAGUAGUAAUGGCCUGUCCAGAAAUAGGAAUCUUUAGUUUUUGGUUGAUUUUCUGACACAUUGUCUAUGUGUACAACGCACUAAUGUAAUGUGCGGUAUUAGAGAAAUAAAUGGAUUCUAACUGAAAAUGCUAAGGAGCAACCACCCUCUCAAACUGUACAUGUCCACACAAAAUUAUAGGAAGACUUCAUUGACCUCAUUAAUUACUUCCAAAUACCAGUUUUCAGCAGCGAUAAUAGCAAAUAUUUAUCAACAAAUUUUUCAAAAUUAAUAUUUAUCAUAUAGUGUUGUAUAACUAGCAGUCUUCUGCUAGGAGUACUUCACUUCUAAUGCUAAUGAAUCCCUGCUGCCUUGAAAAAGGUCUCGCCUGAAUCAGCAGACAGGCUAGCAAGAAACCACUCCACAACCUGACUAAU